rnacentral:rRNA from 1 species
CACGUAGGGUGCGAGCGUUGUCCGGAAUUAUUGGGCGUAAAGAGCUCGUAGGCGGUGUGUCGCGUCGGCCGUGAAAACCUGCAGCUUAACUGUGGGCGUGCGGUCGAUACGGGCAUCACUGGAGUUCGGCAGGGGAGACUGGAAUUCCUGGUGUAGCGGUGGAAUGCGCAGAUAUCAGGAGGAACACCGAUGGCGAAGGCAGAUCUCUGGGCCGUAACUGACGCUGAGGAGCGAAAGCGUGGGGAGCGAACAGG